GACGAACGCUGGCGGCGUGCUUAACACAUGCAAGUCGAACGGAAAGGCCCUGCUUUUGUGGGGUGCUCGAUUGGCGAACGCGUGAGUAACACGUGAGUAACCUCCCCUUGUCUUUGGGAUAACUCCACGAAACUGGGGCUCAUACCGGAUAGGAGCUCCUGCUGCGUGGUGGGGGUUGGAAAGAUUCGGCGGUUGGGGAUGGACUCGCGGCUUAUCAGCUUGUUGGUGGGGUAGUGGCUUACCAAGGCUUUGACGGGUAGCCGGCCUGAGAGGGUGACCGGCCACAUUGGGACUGAGAUACGGCCCAGACUCCUACGGGAGGCAGCAGGGGGGAAUAUUGCACAAUGGGCGGAAGCCUGAUGCAGCAACGCCGCGUGCGGGAUGACGGCCUUCGGGUUGUAAACCGCUGUCGCCGGUGACGAAGCGUGAGUGACGGUAAUGGGUAAAGAAGCACCGGCUAACUACGUG
rnacentral:rRNA from 1 species